UCCGGUUUGUUUCCGGCGGUCUCCCUAGAUAGUCAACUAAGGACGAGGGUUGCGCUCGUUGCGGGACUUAACCCAACAUCUCACGACACGAGCUGACGACAGCCAUGCAACAUCUGUGCACCCGUCCCUUCCGGGAGGGCCUCUUUUCGGAGGCUUGCGAGUGCAUGUCAAGCCUUGGUAAGGCUCUUCGCGUCGCAUCGAAUUAAACCACACGCUCCGCUGCUUGUGCGGGUCCCCGUCAAUUCCUUUGAGUUUUAGCCUUGCGGCCGUACUCCCCAGGCGGGGUGCUUAAUGCGUUAGCUUCGGCACGGAGAGGGUUGAAGACCUCCCCACACCUAGCACCCAACGUUUACGGCUGGGACUAC
rnacentral:misc_RNA from 1 species